rnacentral:rRNA from 1 species
CACGUAGGAUGCAAGCGUUGCUCGGAAUAACUGGGCGUAAAGCGAACGCAGGCGGACCGUUAAGUCAGACGUGCAAGCCCACGGCUCAACCGUGGAAUUGCGUUUGAAACUAUUUAGCUUGAGUUCAGGAGAGGAAGGCGGAAUUCCCAGUGUAGCGGUGAAAUGCAUUGAUAUUGGGAAGAACACCAGUGGCGAAGGCGGCCUUCUGGUCUGAUACUGACGCUGAGAUACGAAAGCCAGGGGAGCGAACGGG